rnacentral:rRNA from 1 species
UACGUAGGGUCCGAGCGUUGUCCGGAAUUAUUGGGCGUAAAGGGCUCGUAGGCGGUCCGUCACGUCGGGAGUGAAAACUCAGGGCUCAACCCUGAGCGUGCUUCCGAUACGGGCAGACUAGAGGUAUGCAGGGGAGAACGGAAUUCCUGGUGUAGCGGUGAAAUGCGCAGAUAUCGGGAGGAACACCGGUGGCGAAGGCGGUUCUCUGGGCCUGUUCUGACGCUGAGGAGCGAAAGCGUGGGGAGCAAACAGG